UUUUUUUUUUUUUUUUUUUUUUGAUUCAAGCAUUUGGAAACACUUUUUCUGGAAUAUCUGUGAAGGGGUAUUUUGGAUACCAAUGAGGUCCAUGGGGAAAAACCAAAUAUCCGUAGGUAAAAACUAGAAAGAAAGUAUCUGUAAAACUGCUUUGUGAUGUGUAGAUUCAUCUCACAGACAAAAACCUUUCUUUUAAUUGAUCAUGUUGGAAACCUGUUUUUGUAGAAUGUGUGAAGAGAUAUUUGGAAAUGCAAUGAGGCGCAGGGGAAAAAAACAAAUAUCCACAGAUAAAGAAGUAAAGACUACCUAUCGGUGAAACUGCUUUGGGAUGUGUAGAUUCAUCUCAAAGUGUUAAAACUUUCUUUUGAUUCAGCAGGUUGGGAACACUGUUUUUGGAGAAUCUACAAAGGGACAUUUCGGAGCCCAUUGCAUCAUAUGGCCAUAAAAUUGAAUAUCCCGAGGUAAAAAGUAGAAAGAAGCUAUCUGUGGCACUGUCUUGUGAUGUGUGGAUUCAUCUCACCAAGUUAAACCUUUCUCUGCAUUCAGUAGGAUGGAAAUACUCUUUUUGGAGAAUCAAUGGGAUAAUUGGGAGACCAUAGAUCCCAAAUUAAAAUCAAUGGAAAAUUUCCAGAUAAAAACUAGGAAGAAGCUAUCUGUGAAACUGCUUUGUGAUGUGCAGAUUUAGCUCAUGGAGUUAAACUUUCCUUUUGAUUCAACAGUUUGAAAACUGUCUUUUUUGAGAAUCUGUGAAAGGACAUUUUAGAGUCCAUUAAGGCCCAUGGGGAAAAAAGUAUCCCUAUGUAAAUAAGGGAAACAAAGUAUCUGUGAAAUUGCUUUGUGACAUGUAAAUUCAUCUAACAGAGUUAAAGCUUUCUUUUGAUCCCACAAGUUGGAAUCGCUCUUUUUGGAGAAUCUGUGAAUGGACAAUUUGGAAUCCAUUCAGGCCCAUGGGGAAAACCUGAAUAUCCCAUAAUAAAAACUAGAAUGAAGCUAUCUGUGAAAAUGCUUUUUGAUGUGUGGAUUCAUUACACAGAAUUAAACAUUUCUUUUGAUUCACCAGGUUGGAAACACUCUUUUUGGAGAAUCUGCCAAGGGCAGUUGAGGGCCUUUGAGGCCCAUGGGGAAAAACAAAUACAGAUAAAAACUAGAAAGACGCUAUCUCUAAAACUGUUUUGGGAUGUGUGGAUUCAUCCCACAGAGUUAAACCUUUCUUUGGUUUAGCAGGUUGGAAACACUAUUUUAGAUAAUCUGUGAAGGGACAUCAGAGAGCCCACUGAGGCCCAUAAAAAACAAAAAAACGAAUAUAGCCAGGUAAAAACCAGAAAGAAGCUAUCUGUGAAACUGCUUUUUAUGUGUGGAUUUAUCUCAGAGUUAAACCUUUCUGUUAUUCAGCAGGUUGAAAGCUCUUUCUUGACAAUAUUUGAAAGGACAUUUGGAAGCUCAUUGAGGCCUAUGGGCAAAAACUGAGUAUCACAGGGUAAAACAAAAAGCAAACUAUCUGUGAAACUCCUUUGUCAUCUGUAAAUUCAUCUCACAGAGAUAAAGUUUUCUGUUGAUUCAGCAUAUUGCAAGCACUAUUUUUGGAGAAUCUGCAAAAGGAUAUCUGGUAACACAUUGAGGCCCAUGGUGAAAACAGAAUAUUUCAUGAUAACAACUAGAAAAAAACUAUCUGUGAAACUGCUUGGUGAUGUGUGGAUUCAUCUCACAGAAUUAAACCUCUCUUUUGACAGCCAGUUGGAAACACGUUUAUUGGAUAAACUGUGAAAGGCCAUUUUGGAUAAAAUUGAGGCCCAUGGGGGGGAAAAAAAAACUAAUAUCCCCAGUUAAAAACUAGAUAAUAGCUAUCUGGGAAACUGCUUUGUGAUACGGAUUCAUCUCACAGAGGUAUACCUUUCUUUUGAUUCGGCAGAUUGGAAACACUCUUUUGGAGAUUCUGCCUGGGGACAUUUUUGACCCCAUUGAAGCCCAUGAAAGAAAACCGAAUAUCCCCAAGAGGUUGGAAACACUCUUUUUUGGAGAAUGUGCAAAGGAAUAUUUUGGAUCCCACUGAGGCCCAUGGGGAAAAACUGAAUAGCCUUAGGUAAAAACUAGAAAGAAGCUAUCUCUGAAUCUGCUUUGUGAUGUAUAGAUUCAUCUCACAGAUUUAAACAUUUAUUUUGAUUCAACAGAUCGUAAACACCCUAUUAGGAGAAUCUGCAAAGGGACAUUUGGGAGCCCAUUGCAGCCUAUGGGGAUAAACAGAAUAACCCCAGGUAAAAACCAGAAAGAAGACAUCUGUGGCACUGCCUUGUCAUGUGUGGAUUCAUCUCACUGAGUUAAAUCUUUCUUUUGAUACAGCAGGUUGGAAACACUCUUUUUGGAGAACAUGUGAAGGGAUAUUUGGGAGCCCAUUGAGGCCCAUGAAAAAAAAAAUUCUAGAUAAAAACUAGGAAGAGGCUGUCUGUGAAACUGCUUUGUGAUGUGUGGAAUAAUCUCACAGAGUUAAACAUUUCCUUUGAUUCAGCAGUAUCUGCAAAGAGACAUUUUGGGUCCCAUUAAGGCCUUUCAGGAAAAUUCUAAUAUCCUCAGUUAAAAACUAGAAAGACGAUAUCUGGGAAACUGCUUUGUGAUUUGUGUUUUCGUCUCACUGAGUUAAGCCUUUCUUUUGAUUCAAUAGGUUGGAAACACUCUUUUUGGAGAAUCUGCAAAGGGACAUUUUGGACCCCCAUUGAGACCUAUUGGGAAAAUCCUAAUAUCCACAGGUUGGAAACGCGGUUUUUGGAAAAUCUGACAGUGGACAUUUGAGAGACCGUUGAGAACCAUGGAGAACAACGUAAUAGCCCCAGGUAAAAGCUAGAAAGAAGCUAUUUGUCAAACUGCUCAAUGAUUUCUGGAUUCAUCUCAAAGGUUUACACCAUUCUUUUGAGUCAGCAGGUUAAAAACAAUCUUUUUGGAUAAUCUGUGAAGGGACAUUUGGGAGCCCCUUUGAGGCCCAAUGGAAAAAAAAAUAUGCCCAGAUAAAAACUAGAAAGAAGCUGUCUAUGUAACUCCUGGCUGAUGAAGACGAAUAUGCCCAGGUAAAAACUAGAAAGUAGGUAUCUGGGAAAGUGCUCUAUGAUGUGUGGAUUCAUCUCAGAGGUAAAUCCUUCCUUUGAUUCAGCAGGUUGGAAACAUUCUAUUUGUAGAAUCAGCAAAGGGACUUUUGGGAGCCCAUUCAGGCCUAAAGGAAAAAUUGAAUACCCCUACAUAAAAACUGAAAGAAGCUGUCUGUGUAACUGCUUUGUGAUGUAAAGAUUAAUGAAAGAGUUAAACCUUUCAUUUGAUUCAUCAGGUUGACAGAACUCUUUUUGGAAAAUCUGUGAAGGUACAUUCAGGGCCCAUUGUGGCCUAUGAGGAGAAAGCAAAUAUCCCCUGAUGAAAAUAAGAAAGAGGGGUGCAGCCAAGAUGGCCAAAUAGGAACAGCUCCACUCUACAGCUUCCACCAUGACCAAUGCAGAAGAUGGGUGAUUUCUGCAUUUCUAACUGAGGUACUGGGUUCAUCUCACUGUGGAGUGCCAGACAGUGGGUGCAGGACAGUGGGUGGAGCACACUGUGCAUGAGCUGAAGCAGGGUGAGGCAUCACCUCACCCAGGAAGCUCAAGAGGUCAGGGAAUUCCCUUUCCUAGUCAAAGAAAUGGGCAACAGACGGCACCUCGAAAAUCAGGUCACUCCCACAUUAAUACUGUGCUUUUCCAAUGGGCUUCAGAAAUGGCACGCCAGGAGAUUAUGUCCCACACAUGGCUCAGAGGGUUCUAUGCCCACUGAGCCUCACUCAUUGCUAGAACAGCAGUCUGAGAUCAAAAUGCAAGGUGGCAGUGAGGCUGGGGGAGGGACACCCGCCAUUGCUCAGGCUUGAGUAGGUAAACAAAGUGGCUGGGAAGCUUGAACUGGGUGGAGCCCACCACAGCUCAAGGAGGCCUGCCUGCUUCUGUAGGCUCCACCUCUGGGGGCAGGGCACAGACAAACAAAAGACAGCAAUAACCUCUGCAGACUUAAAUGUCCCUGUCUGAGAGUUUGGAAGACUAGUGGUUCUCCCAGCACACAGCUGGAGAUAUGAGAAUGGGCAAACUGCCUCCUCAAGUGGGUCACUGACUCCUGAGUAGCCUAACUGGGAGGCACCCAUCAGUACAGGCAGACUGACACCUUACCGGGCCGGGUACGCCUCUGAGCCAAAACAUCCAGAGGAAUGAUUAGGCAGCAGCAUUUGCGGUUCACCAAUAUCCACUGUUUUGCAGCCACCACUGCUGACACCCAGGCAAACAGGGUCUGGAGUGGACCUUGAGUAAACUCCAACAGACCUGCAGCUGAGGGUCCUGAUGGCUAGAAUGAAAACUAACAAACAGAAAGGACAUCCACACCAGAAACCCAUCUGUACGUCACCAUCAUCAAAGACUAAAGGUAGAUAAAACCACAAAGAUGGGGAAAAAACAGAGCAGAAAAACGGGAAACUCUAAAAAUCAGAGCACCUCUCGUCCUUCAAAGGAAUGCAGCUCCUCACCAGCAAUGGAACAAAGAUGGACAGAGAAUGACUUUCACGAAUUGUGAGAGGAAGACUUCAGAAGGUCAAACUACCCUGAGCUAAAGGAGGAAGUUUGAACCAAUGGCAAAGAAGUUAAAAACUUUGAAAAAAAAUUAGAUCAAUGGAUAACUAGAAUAACCAAUGAAGAAAGUCCUUAGAGAACCUGAUGGAGUUGAAAAACAUGGCGCGAGAACAACGUGCUGAAUGCACAAACCUCAGUAACUGAUGCAAUCAACUGGAAGAAAGGGUAUCAGCAAUGGAAGAUGAAAUGAAGUGUGAAGAUCAGUUUAGAGAAAAAAGAAUAAAAAGAAAUGAACAAAAUUUCCAAAAAUAUGGGACUAUGUGAAAAGACCAAAUCUAUGUCUAAUUGGUGUACCUGAAAGUGACAGGGAGAAUGGAACCAAGUUGGAAAACAUUCUGCAGGAUAUUAUCCUGGACAACUUCCCCAAUCUAACAAUUCAGGCCAACAUUCAAAUUCAGGAAAUACAGAGAAUGCCACAAAGAUACUCAUCAAGAAGAGCAACUCCAAGACAUAUAAUUGUCAGAUUCACCAAAGUUGAAAAGAAGGAAAAAAUGUAAAGGGCAGCCAGAGAGAAAGGUCGGGUUACCCACAAACGGAAACCCAUCAGACUAACAGCUCAUCUCUCAGCAGAAACUCUACAAGCCAGAAGAGAGUGGGGGCCAAUAUUCAAUAUUCUUAAAGAAAAGAAUUUUCUACCCAGAAUUUCAUAUCAAGCCAAACUAUGCUUCAUAAGUGAAGAAGAAAUAAAGUACUUUACAGACAAGCAAAUGCUGAGAGAUUUUGUCACCACCAUGUCUGCCCUAAAAGAGGUCCUGAAGGAAGCAUUAAAUGUGGAAAGGAACGACCAGUAGCAGCCACUGCAAAAACAUGCAAAUUAUAAAGACCAUCAAGGUUAGGAAGAAACUCCAUCAACUAACUAGUUAAUAUCAUAAUGACAGGAUAAAAUUCACACAUAACAAUACUAACCUAAAAUGCAAAUGGGUUAAAUGCUCAAAUUAAAAGGCACAGACUGGUAAAUUGGAUAAAGAAUCAAGACCCAUCAGUGUGCUGUAUUCAGGAAACCCAUCUCACAGGCAGAGACACACAUAGGCUCAAAACAAAGGGAUGGAGGAAGAUCUACCAAGCAAAUGGAAAACAAAAAAAGCAGGGGUUGCAAUCCUAGUCUCUGAUAAAACAGACUUUAAAUGAAACAACAUCAAAAGAGGCAAAGAAGGCCAUUACAUAAUGCUAAAGGGAUCAAUUCAACAAGAAGACCUAACUACCCUAAAUGUAUAUGCACCCAAUAUGGGAGCACCCAGAUUCAUAAAGCAAGUCCUUAGUGACCUAUAAUGAGACUUAGACUUCCACACAACAAUAAUGGGAGAUGUUAACACUCCACUUCAACAUUAGACAGAUCAACAAGACAGAAAGCUAAAAAGGAUAUCCAGGAAUUGAACUCAGCUCUGCACACAGUGAACCUAAUAGACAUCUACAGAACUCUCCACCCCAAAUCAACAGAAUGCACAUUCUUUUUAGCACCACACCACUCUUUUUCCAAAAUUGACCACAUACUUGGAAGUAAAGCACUCCUCAGCAAAUGUAAAAGAAUAGAAAUUAUAACAAAUUGUCUCUCAGACCACAGUGCAAUCAAACUAGAACUCAGGAUUAAGAAACUCACUCAAAUCCGCUCAUUUACAUGGAAACUGAACAACCUGCUCUGGAAUGACUACUGGGUACAUAACGAAGUGAAGGCAGAAAUAAAGAUGUUAUUUGAAACCAAUGAGAACAAAGAAACAACAUACCAGAAUCUCUGGGACACAUUCAGAGCAGUGCGUAGCGGGAAAUUUGUAACACUAAAUGCCCACAGGAGAAAGCAGGAAAGAUAUAAAAUUGAUAUCCUAACAUCACAAUUAAAAGAACCAGAGAAGCAAGAGCAAACAUAUUCAAAGGCUAGCAGAAGGCAAGAAAAAACUAAGAUCACAGCAGAACUGAAGGAAAUAGAGACACAAAAAACUCUACAAAAAAUCAAUGAAUCCAGGAGCUGGUUUUCUGAAAAGAUCAACAAAAUUGACAGACCACUAGCAAGACAAAUAAAGAAGAAAAGAGAGAAGAAUAUAAUAGAAACAAUAAAAAAUGACAAAGAGGAUA